GGAAGUGGGAGACACUGGGUCAGCCAGGCUCCCGCGGCUGAGUGACUUCUUCCAGGCCAGACCUCUGCUUCUUUCUGCUGGAACCGGAAGCUGGCUGGCGGAAGCCAACGGGUGGAUGGGAACACUUUUGCUAGCUUGAUUUCAAGAGGUGACACUUUUGCUAGCUUGAUUUCAAGAGGUGACACUUUUGCUAGCUUGAUUUCAGGAGGUGGCACUUUUGGUAGCUUGAUUUCAGGAGGUGGCACUUUUGGUAGCUUGAUUUCAGGAGGUGGCACUUUUGGUAGCUUGAUUUCAGGAGGUGGCACUUUUGGUAGCUUGACUUCAGGAGGUGGCACUUUUGGUAGCUUGA